CAGGCCUAACACAUGCAAGUCGAACGAGACCUUCGGGUCUAGUGGCGCACGGGUGCGUAACGCGUGGGAAUCUGCCCUUGGGUUCGGAAUAACUCGCCGAAAGGCGUGCUAAUACCGGAUAAUGACGUAAGUCCAAAGAUUUAUCGCCCAAGGAUGAGCCCGCGUAGGAUUAGCUAGUUGGUGAGGUAAGAGCUCACCAAGGCGACGAUCAGUAGCUGGUCUGAGAGGAUGAUCAGCCACAUUGGGACUGAGACACGGCCCAAACUCCUACGGGAGGCAGCAGUGGGGAAUAUUGGACAAUGGGCGAAAGCCUGAUCCAGCCAUGCCGCGUGAGUGAUGAAGGCCCUAGGGUUGUAAAGCUCUUUUACCUGGGAAGAUAAUGACGGUACCAGGAGAAUAAGCCCCGGCUAACUUCGUGCCAGCAGCCGCGGUAAU
rnacentral:rRNA from 1 species